GGCAAAGGGGAGUAAAAGAAACCAGAAGUGGCUUAGAUGGUUAACACCAUACAAUUUCCAACCCUGUAAAAGGGAAAUAAUCGUAAACAGAGUAAACCAAGGAUAGAAGUAACACUCUGUCCAGUAGUGUAAGGGCAAAGGAUAAGUAAUAAGCCAUAAAUAAAGGUAGCACACAUGGAAGUCAUGGAAGCGAAAAAAUAGCAAAGAAGGUAUCAAAGAAUCAAAAAUCCAAUUAAAGAAGCAGAAAUAAGAGAAAACUGACAUAUAUAUCAUUAAGUAGAAUAGUAGCAUCAUAAAACUUAUAGGUAAUACAUGAGGAAGUAACAGUGACGAAUACAGGGAGGGUUCAAGUGGGUUCAUAAUACCCACUGAUUUUUUGAAAAAAAAAAUUAAAAGUUUUUUUAUAAAAAUAAAAAAAAUAAAAAAAAAAUAAUUAAAAAAGGGUUAAAUAGAUUAUUUCAUAACGCAUAUCAACAUGUUAGUGUGCAGCCCAAUGGCAAUUUUUGGUGCGCGUCCUUCCAUUCCCUUUCAAGGAAGUCAGGGGUUCGAACCCUCUCUAUCCCUUUGUUUUUUUGUCAGUCCUCAUAUUUUGAAUUUUCCCCAAAUUCUCAAACCCUAACUUCACCUUUCUCUCUCUAACUCAAUUGCUUCCCGCCGCGGCACCGCUCUACCCCACCAGCCACCGCCCACGACUGCUACUCCGCCUCCUUGGCUCGUCGCUGCUGUACGGCCCCAUCCCCACGGACCACGUACGCACCACGUUUGCAAAUGAGUUUAGAGUCUUUUCGGAAACGUGUGAAAAUUGGUUUACUUGCUUAUACGACUAGCAUUGAUCCUUUUAGUGGCAACUGCAACCGUGGAACGAGUGUUUUCAUCAAUGACUUAUGUAAAAAAAUAAGUUACGGAAUAGUAUGGGCGAUCAACUUUUGAAUGAUAGUUUAGCCACUUUUUUUUUUAGAGAGACUUAUUUGCUAGAGUUAGUGAUGAUGAUGUAUGUAUUGAUACACUUCCAAAGUAUGAAAACUCGAAAAAUUCUUUUGUAGGUUUUUUUUUUUCUAAGUGUAAUUUAUUUGUAAUCCGAAAUAAUUAUGUAUUGAAUCUUUAAUUAAUGUA